rnacentral:lncRNA from 1 species
UUUCUUCAUUCUAUCUAAAAGUGGUUUGUUAUUCAUCUGUUUUUGAGUCAUGGUUUCUUUCAACCGGCGUUACAGACUUACAAUCAUCGAUCAUUUCUUUCAAUCGGUGUUUCAAACUCUUUGAUCGUACCAUAUACAGUUGAUUUCAACAGCAUAAAUACGGAUUCCUCAGGAGCGGGUUGGAUUAGUCCCGAGACAAGAACGAUUGGAUAUUUUUGUACGAUUAUGGAUUAUCUACAGUUUGUGCAUAUGCAGAAUGCAUCAGCAACAGAGUAUGUCUUUCUAACGCGUCUCGCCUGA